ACUCCUACGGGAGGCAGCAGUGGGGAAUUUUGCGCAAUGGGGGAAACCCUGACGCAGCAACGCCGCGUGAGUGGUGAAGGCCUUCGGGUCGUAAAGCUCUGUCAGAGGGGAAGAAAUGCAGGGUGCUAAUAUCGCUUCUGCUUGACGGUACCCUCAAAGGAAGCACCGGCUAACUCCGUGCCAGCAGCCGCGGUAAUACGGAGGGUGCGAGCGUUGUUCGGAAUUAUUGGGCGUAAAGCGCGUGUAGGCGGUUUGUUAAGUCUGAUGUGAAAGCCCCGGGCUCAACCUGGGAAGUGCAUUGGAAACUGGCAGACUUGAAUACGGGAGAGGGCAGUGGAAUUCCUAGUGUAGGAGUGAAAUCCGUAGAUAUUAGGAGGAACACCGGUGGCGAAGGCGGCUGCCUGGACCGAUAUUGACGCUGAGACGCGAAAGCGUGGGGAGCAAACAGGAUUAGAUACCCUGGUAGUCCACGCCGUAAACGAUGAGAACUAGGUGUCGCGGGUA
rnacentral:rRNA from 1 species